rnacentral:lncRNA from 1 species
CUGUGCUGUGCUGGCUAGGCAAUCUCGUGACUGUUGUAAAAGGGACAUUCCUAUCAUAUGUGAGGUAUGCUCUUUGUUCCAAGAUGGUAUAUAACCACUCUGUGCACCCCACUUCUUUGGUGCCCUUCUUUCCUUGAGGAAGGAAGGCCCCAGGUUAGGCUAGUCCUCAGAUCUGGCUCAUAACUCACCCUAAUUUUGAUUUAUAGAUUGGUUAUGGAUUAUUUUCGUUGACACAGACAUGCUGACCUUCUUUCAGGUCCUCCAGUGGCUUGUCCCACCUGUCUCAGGACCUUUGCAUAGGCAGAUGACCCCGUAGCCUGUCCACAGCUGCCCCCUCCCACCCCACCCCAAUAACCAAGCACACAUCUGGUUAACGCCCACUCAUCUUUCAGAUUCCAGCUCCAACGACACUUCUCCAGGGAAGCUCUCCCUGCCUCGACUCCUCUACCUGCUGGCCAAGCCUCCCUUGUUAUAUGAUCUCAUAGCAUUCUGCACUUUUAAUUUUUCAUCAGAACACUUAUGGUUUUAAAGUAUAUAUUUGGAUGAUUAUUCGCCCUCCACCUAGACAAAGCAUCUUGAAAGCUGGAAGUGUGUGUGCUUGACCCAUCACUCUGUCCCUUCCACAGUGCCUGGUGCACACAGAUGCUCAGAUUGUAAGCUCCUUGAGGAUGAGAACUGAGUUUUGACUCCCUGUAUAGCCCCAGUAUCUGGUACAUGUUACAGAGGCCUGUUACGAAGCACACGUUUCCAGCUUGUUCCAGUGUCUGGGUCCAACGAUUUUCCCUUUCCUUCCUCCAAUUAGCCACAAGAUGGCAGCCUAAGCCACGCUGGUACUUAAUUUCCUGUGAGGAAGAAGUGGUGCUUUGGGUUAAAAUGCCCUUCUCUGAGCCAGAAGAGGAUCCCUUUGAAGUGAGAUUAAGUCACACAUUACAGAAGAUUUCUCUGAAAAUGUCCUCUGCAUCUUCUCUUCUUCAUUGACUCUGAGGAACAAUCUGGAAUACUAACAAGCAAGACAAAGGAGAGAUUUUCUUCUCCUUGCCUGAGGGGCCGUUGGGCUAUUUAGAAAACAGUUCUAGGGAGAGCACGGAGCUCUGAGCUCUGGGAAACAAGGACACCGGGG